CCAUGCCGCGUGCAGGAAGAAUGCCCUAUGGGUAGUAAACUGCUUUUAUACGGGAAGAAAAAGAGCUACGUGUAGCUUACUGACGGUACCGUAAGAAUAAGGACCGGCUAACUCCGUGCCAGCAGCCGCGGUAAUACGGAGGGUCCGAGCGUUAUCCGGAAUUAUUGGGUUUAAAGGGUCCGUAGGCGGGCCGAUAAGUCAGUGGUGAAAGUUUGCAGCUCAACUGUAAAAUUGCCUUUGAUACUGUCGGUCUUGAGUUAUAGUGAAGUUGCCGGAAUAUGUAGUGUAGCGGUGAAAUGCAUAGAUAUUACAUAGAACACCGAUUGCGAAGGCAGGUGACUAACUAUAUACUGACGCUGAUGGACGAAAGCGUGGGGAGCGAACAGGAUUAGAUACCCUGGUAGUCCACGCCGUAAACGAUGGAUACUAGCUGUCCGGGUCCUUGAGACCUGGGCGGCACAAGCGAAAGUGAUAAGUAUCCCACCUGGGGAGUAC
rnacentral:rRNA from 1 species